CUGAAAACUUUAACGUUACAAUGCUAUUAACUUAUAUUUUGCGCAGGCAAUUACCUUUUUCUGUUGUAAAUAAAAAAAAGCCUGACAAUGUCACAUAUAAAUACCUGCAUUGUGGUAUUCCACUCAUAGGCUACUUACUACUUUGUGGUGGCGUUCAUGUGCGUUCAACCCAUAAAUACGAUCUUUCCGACACGACUUGAAUGCAUAAAAGUCUUAGCUUUAAAAUUCUGUAAAUUUUAAUGCGAAAUUCAAACAUUACCGUUUUGGCGCUCUUUAAUGUGGCGUGAGCGCGCGUGACGGUUAUAGCGCCUCUCAAAGCGAAGUGGCAGCGCAGACGUAUAGCUCACACGAACUGAUCAUCUCUUCCACUUUAUUUCCGCACAAAAUAAACAUGAACAUCAGAAGGUGCUCCGGAUGUUAAAGUGAUAGAGCGACUGGCGUCCCAGGAGACGACACGUCGCUUAAGCCCAGGAGAAGUGCCGGGAAAACGCGGGCUUGGGUUUUACCACGGCAGCCUGGUGAAAGUUAGUCAACUCUUGCAGAACUGCAUUUAAACGAGUGAGCUAGAAAAGAAAGUCAAGAAAGGAUGGAAAUAUUAAAGAUGUCACGCGUGGGCGGUGGGAGGACUCACGCGAGUUCGGUAGGUGAUUGUGACGUGGCGCGCGCGAAGGGAACGGAGAAAUUCAUACAAAAAGGUGUAAAAAGAGAGCGACCUUCACAGACUGUAAAUGUGAAAUA